rnacentral:pre_miRNA from 1 species
AUGUAGGGAAAUCUGUCUUUAAGUAGGGAUAAAUUAUUCCAAAAAAAAAAAAAUUAAUCCUAGAUAGUUUUCCCUUUAAGUCAAGCAUCUUGU